rnacentral:sRNA from 1 species
UUACCUGCGCAGAGCAAAAUCGGUUGUAGAUUAUAUCCACGAAAAUUCCUUCUAUUAAAAUGAAUUUCAAGUCCCACCUACCCUGGAAGCAGAAAGAGAGAGAAGAGAGAGAGUAAAGAGAAAGAGAAAAGAAAGAGAAGUUGAAAAAGAGAAAGAAAACCAAGAAAGAAAGAGAAAAAAACCGAAAAUAAAUGGACAAGAAAGAAAAAGGGUGAAGGUCAACCCUGUGCUCAAUUCCAGAGACUUUCCCAGGGACAUCGUGUUGGGCAUGGAGGACUAAGGGCAGUGUGAAGAUAAGUCACCGUUUCUUUAAAAAAAAAAAAAAAGCCAGUAACUUAUAAAAAUAGCCAUAAACGACGUAGUUUUCUGUUGUUGUUGUUUUGAGACAGCGUCUCCCUCUGUCCCCCAGGCGGGAGUACAGUGGCAGGCACUCAGCUCACUGUAACCUCCGCCUCCUGGGUUCAAGUGAUUCUCUUGCCCCAGCCUCCAGAGUAGCCACCACGCCCGGUCCAACUUAGUUUUUUAAUACUUUUUAAAAUUUUAAGACAGGGUCUCUGCCACCGAGGCUGAAAUGCAGUGGCGCAAUCAUAGCUCACUGCAACCUUGACUUCCUGGGGUCCUGGGCAGGUGACCUCCUGUCUCAGCCUGCCGAGUAGCUGUGAGUAAAGGCCUGUGCCUCUCCACUGUGCUAAUUUUCUACUGUUUGUUGCUUUGUUUUUAAUAGAGAUGUAGUCUGGUUUUGUUGCCCAGGCUGGUCUCCAGCUUCUAGCCUCAAGCAGUCUUCCCAUCUGCUCCUACCAAAGUGCUCGGAUUAUAGGCAUGAGUCACCUUGCAUGGG